rnacentral:misc_RNA from 1 species
UUUCCGUAGGUGAACCUGCGGAAGGAUCAUUAUCGAAAUACUUAUUUAGCGUUCCGUGCUAUCCCAUUGUUUUAUUUACCCUGUUGCUUCCACUGGAUGAGUUUCCAUACCUUGUGUUUGAGAAACUUUGGCUUGUGUAAGAUUCAUUCACGGCCAGCCAGUGAGAAGACCAUUUACAAAACCCUGUUAAGAACCAAUUGUCUGAAUAUUUUACUCCAAUGAAAUAAAACUCUCAACAACGGAUCUCUAGGCUCUU